rnacentral:rRNA from 1 species
AUGUGUGGUUUUCAAAGCAAAGGGCAGGGGUUCUUCUAUAUUCCUGAUUUCAGCGUGGAUAGACAGCCUAGGGAGAGGAUUUUCAAUGUUGUUGUUACUAUCACCGAGGGGGAUGCGCUAACCAAAGACAUAGAGCACGAGCUUAGUGUUUAUGUGGGUCAGGGAUGGCGUUGUUCUGCUAAGUUCUUUGCUCCGAACGUGUCUGUGAUGAGGAUGCCUAACCCCAGAGAAGUUGAUCGUGCUCUUUUUGUUGAACAUGUUAAACUGAAAAAGUGUGGUGUGGCUGUUAAAUUUUCCCCCUGGUCUGAGGAUAUAGACUCUGAAGGGCUCCUAGAAGUUGCUUGGGUGAGGAUUGGGAGAAUCCCUCCUAACCAACGCUGUGAUAAAACUGUAGCUUAUGUGAGGGGGGGCUUGUGA